AUUGCAUGAAACCUGUGACUUGCUUAAUAAUGUGGAACAACAUCCUUAGGCUGGGCCCUAGGCAAGAUCUCAAAAUGCUGUUGUUGCCUGCUUCAGGUGUUCAUCAGCCAUCUGUGAACACCAGACCAAAAUUGCUCACAGCAUCCAACAGGAAGGGGUUAAAGGUCAUCGACUAGAAGUCGGUGGACGGAGAUCAAGGAGGAUGUUCACGUCCAACAAAAGAUCGUCUUUCAACACAAACAGGCUCUCCCCCCAUAUGGUAAAUGGACUGUACUUAUAAAGCACCUUUCUAGUCUUCCAACCCCUCAACCCACAUUCACACACAUUCAUACAGUGAUGACAAAGGCUAUCACAAAGUAAUUAAUUCAUAUACAUUCAUACACCAAUGCACAGUAUCUUGUUUAGGGACACUUUGACAUGCAGCAGGAGGAGCCAGAGAUUGAACCACCAACCCUCAGAUUAGUGGACAACCUGCUCUACCUUCUGAGCCACUGCUGCCCCUAACCUACCUAUUUAGACCACCUGUUGUGAACUGAGAUUUUUUCCACAUACCAAUCCCAAGGUCAUGAAUGAACUUUUAUACAUGUUUGAGCUGGUGAAGGUUCAUAUUCUGGCUCUUUUUGAUGUAUUUGCCCAUAGGGAUGGCCUUCAGCUAUCAUUAUCCCAACUUAAUGUGUGUAGUGCAACAUAUAUCUAUGAGCAGAGGUGGAUGGGCAUCCAUUUCCUGACUUAACAUUGGUGGAAACAUACUGGUCCAGUGAAAAAGGCUUUUCUGGGAGAAUCAUGACCAGAUGCUGCAGCUUUUUUAAAUUUGUUUUGAUGACUUUUCCCUCGUGUUUCCUCUCUGUAACACCAGCCUCUCUUUCUUGCCAGGGCCUUUUGAUAUAGGAGAAUAACAGGGUGGAGCUAGGUGAAUUGCCUAUUGAAAUUUAUGGCAGUCAUUAUUUUUCCCAUGUGUAAAUGAAGAGGAUUGGAAACGCCUGCUUCGUGGCAGCUUUAUGUCUUCCAACAUCCUCUGGGAGAGAUACUAACAACACUUUGGCAAUGCUUCACUUGAGUGUCUGAAAUUCUGCAUUGUCAUGGUAUCCUCCCCUCAGUAAGGACUUCUCUUCUUUGUAGAUUCAUUGUUGAGCAAAAACUGCAUACUUUAAAGGUUAAACAUGAAAAUAUGUGUUAGAAUUUGGAGGUUACUUUUUGUCUUUUGUUUCAGUGUUGUCAGGCAGUGAGCCAACCAUGGAUGUAUAAAAGAUGGGAACUAGAUACAGCGUCGGAGGUUGGGGUCUGCUCAAUCUUAUGGAAACUAGUUAGUGACGUUUAAAGCCAAAUAAAAUUAGAUUUCCCAGUAUAAAAUGACCCACUUCUGCCACUGAGUGCGGCCGAGACGCUAUAUCUGGGUCUAGCCUUCUGCUAACUGGAAUGGGGAUACAUUUAUUUAAUGGUGCAGUUAUUUUC
rnacentral:lncRNA from 15 species